rnacentral:rRNA from 1 species
UGCUCUUUGUACUACUUCUAUAAAGAGUCGAGCCUGCCCAGUGAAGUUUUUAACGGCCGCGGUACUCUGACCGUGCAAAGGUAGCAUAAUCAUUUGCCUUAUAAUUGAAGGCUAGUAUGAAUGGUUUGACGAAAGCAGACCUGUCUCUCUCCUAUUAUCUAGAAAUUGACCUUUAGGUGAAGAGGCCUAAAUGUUAUUGAAGGACAAGAAGACCCUGUCGAGCUUAAAAGAACAGGCGGAAGUUUAUAUAAGUAUAAAUAAAUAAUCCGUCCAGCUUUUUAGUUGGGGCGACUGAGGAACAGAAAAAGCUUCUUCUAUAAGAGAAACUAGACAAGUUAAGAUCCAGCUCUAGUCUGAUUUAAGAAAUUAGUUACCGCAGGGAUAACAGCAUAAUCUCUCUUGAGAGACCUAAUCGAAAGAGGGGGUUGUGACCUCGAUGUUGGACUAGAAUAUCCUAAAGAUGCAGAAGUCUUUAAAGGUUGGUCUGUUCGACCAUUAAAAUUCU